rnacentral:miRNA from 1 species
CAAAUCUUGAAUCGAUUGGCA